rnacentral:rRNA from 1 species
GAUGAACGCUGGCGGCGUGCCUAAUACAUGCCAGUCGAGCGAACAGACGAGGAGCUUGCUCCUCUGACGUUAGCGGCGGACGGGUGAGUAACACGUGGAUAACCUACCUAUAAGACUGGGAUAACUUCGGGAAACCGGAGCUAAUACCGGAUAAUAUAUUGAACCGCAUGGUUCAAUAGUGAAAGACGGUUUUGCUGUCACUUAUAGAUGGAUCCGCGCCGCAUUAGCUAGUUGGUAAGGUAACGGCUUACCAAGGCAACGAUGCGUAGCCGACCUGAGAGGGGGAUGGACACAAUGGGAACGGAAACAGGGCCGAAACCCAGAGGGGGGGCACAGGGGGGAAUUCUCCGGAAAGGGCCAAAAGCCAGAAGGAGAAACGCGGAGGGAGGGAAAAAGGUCUCCGGAACGAAAAACUUUUUUAUGGGGGAAAAAAAAAUGUGAAAGAAACUAUGCGCGUCUGGACGGAACAUAAUAAAAAAGAAACGAAAAACUACGUG